UUUAUAAUUAAAACAGUGUCUGUCUUUGACACCUAGACACUGAUGUGAUGAAAAUGCCCUCGAGGCUUCCAACAGCAAAACAAGCAUUUAUAAGAAUGCUGUAGGUACAGAAAUUGUUUUCUAAGUGUGAAAUGAAUAUCCAACUAGUCAGUGACAACUGUGUGGAGUUUGGAGUUGUGACAGCAACUAUGUGAGCUUAUUACAGUAUUAUAGACACCAUGUCCUGGGAUUUCCUAUGAUCUUCUAUGUAGAAGAACCCCUUACCUCCUAACUAUUUUUGUGCGACUAGUUUGUAGCUCAAACCGUUCCGACUUUACAGACGUUUUUGUGAGAAGAACCGUUUUCGGGAUCCACCCUUGUCUCACAAAAACUGCUGUAGUUCAGCCCCACGUCAAUUGCACAGGCUAAUGGUUGGAAUCGGCGGUUGCAAAAAGUGUUGCACCAGAUCCCGACUGAUGAUGCCCCGCCAGUACGAGAACGGUACAGACCCAUUCCUCCCAGCCUCUAUGCGGAGCUCCGUGCUCUACUACAGUACAAGGAUAGAGGAGCCCUUGCCCUGCCUGAAAGAAUCCCUGCGGAACUCGACGCUGGACUUGGCCAGUGGAUAUUGGUAGGUCCGGGUGGAUCCGAGAGACCAAGAGAAGACAGCCUUCACCACGCCUCUUGAUCUCUAUAAGAUCGAACGGAUGCCCGUCGCUCUGUGUAAUGCCCCUGCCACAUUCCAGCAUCUGAUGCAGCCGUGCCUCUGGCAAUAGGACACCUACACUACCCGAUGUCACAGGAAGGCCAAAAAGAUCAUCAAGGACAACAACCACCUGAGCCACUGCCUGUUCACCCCGCUAAUAUCCAGAAGGCGAGGUGUCUCCGGAAGGUGGUGAUUGACUCCGCUGUCCUGGCGUCGUGAGGGAGCUUGUUCCACCAUUGGGGUGCCAGAGCAGCGAACAGUUUUGACUGGGCUGAGCGGGAACUGUGCUUCCUCAGAGGUAGGGAGGCGAGCAGGCCAGAGGUGGAUGAACGCAGUGCCCUUGUUUGGGUGUAGGGCCUGAUCAGAGCCUGAAGGUACGGAGGUGCCGUUCCCCUCACAGCUCCGUAGGCAAGCACCAUGGUCUUGUAGCAGAUGCGAGCUUCAACUGGAAGCCAGUGGAGAGAGCGGAGGAGCGGGGUGACGUGAGAGAACUUGGGAAGGUUGAACACCAGACGGGCUGCGGCGUUCUGGAUGAGUUGUAGGGGUUUAAUGGCACAGGCAGGGAGCUCAGCCAACAGCGAGUUGCAGUAAUCCAGACAGGAGAUGACAAGUGCCUGGAUUAGGACCUGCGCCGCUUCCUGUGUGAGGCAGGGUCGUACUCUGCGAAUGUUGUAGAGCAUGAACCUACAGGAUCGGGUCACCGCCUUGAUGUUAGUGGAGAACGACAGGGUGUUCUCCAUGUGUAUGUGACCAGUAAAAUUUGAUUUUAUUUGAUUUUAUAAAGUAUUGACUCAGGG
rnacentral:lncRNA from 1 species